rnacentral:rRNA from 1 species
ACGGGAGGCAGCAGUGAGGAAUAUUGGUCAAUGGGCGGAAGCCUGAACCAGCCAAGUCGCGUGAAGGAUGAAGGUAUUAUGUAUUGUAAACUUCUUUAGCUGUGGAGCAAUAAUCUCCAUGUAUGGAGAGAGGAGAGUACACAGAGAAUAAGGAUCGGCUAACUCCGUGCCAGCAGCCGCGGUAAUACGGAGGAUCCGAGCGUUAUCCGGAUUUAUUGGGUUUAAAGGGUGCGCAGGCGGCUUUCUAAGUCAGUGGUCAAAUCGUGGUGCUCAACGCCAUCCCGCCAUUGAUACUGGAGAGCUUGAUUGCGGUCGAGGUUUGCGGAAUUCGUCGUGUAGCGGUGAAAUGCAUAGAUAUGACGAAGAACACCGAUUGCGUAGGCAGCAGACCAGGCCGUAAAUGACGCUCAUGCACGAAAGUGCGGGGAUCGAACAGGAUUAGAUACCCUGGUA